rnacentral:tRNA from 1 species
GGAGGCGUAUGGGUGCCUGGUGGCCCCCGCGGUCUUCAACACCGACGUGGUCGAGCAACUCGAUCAGGCGGGUUCGAUUCCCGUCCGCCUCCG